AGAGUUUGAUCAUGGCUCAGGAUGAACGCUAGCUACAGGCUUAACACAUGCAAGUCGAACGGGGAAUGGUUUCGACCAUUCCGAGUGGCGCACGGGUGAGUAACACGUAUCCAACCUGCCCCUUACUCAUGGAUAGCCCUCUGAAAGGAGGAUUAAUACAUGAUGAAGUGUAUGAAUCACAUGGUUUAUAUAUUAAAGGUCAACGGUAAGGGAUGGGGAUGCGUUCCAUUAGACAGUCGGUGAGGUAACGGCCCACCGAAUCCACGAUGGAUAGGGGUUCUGAGAGGAAGGUCCCCCACAUUGGAACUGAGACACGGUCCAAACUCCUACGGGAGGCAGCAGUGAGGAAUAUUGGUCAAUGGUCGCGAGACUGAACCAGCCAAGUAGCGUGAGGGAUGACGGCCCUACGGGUUGUAAACCUCUUUUAUAUGAGAUUAAAGUGAUAUACGUGUAUAUCAUUGCAAGUAUCAUAGGAAUAAGCAUCGGCUAACUCCGUGCCAGCAGCCGCGGUAAUACGGAGGAUGCGAGCGUUAUCCGGAUUUAUUGGGUUUAAAGGGAGCGUAGGCUGUAUGGAAAGUCCGCUGUGAAAUUUCAAUGCUCAACAUUGUCCUUGCAGUAGAAACUGUCAUACUUGAGUGCGUAAGAGGUAGGCGGAAUUCGUCAUGUAGCGGUGAAAUGCAUAGAUAUGACGAAGAACCCCGAUUGCGAAAGCAGCUUACUAUACCGCAACUGACGCUGAAGCUCGAAGGUGCGGGUAUCGAACAGGAUUAGAUACCCUAGUAGUCC
rnacentral:rRNA from 1 species